rnacentral:tRNA from 1 species
UGUAGCUCAGUGGUAGAGCAUCUGCCCAGCAUGCCAGGAGGCCCUGGGUUUGAUUCCCAGCA